rnacentral:rRNA from 1 species
GACAGAGGGUGCAAGCGUUGUUCGGAGUUACUGGGCGUAAAGCGUGCGUAGGCGGUGUCUUAAGUUUGUUGGGAAAUCUCCCGGCUUAACCGGGAGGGUGCGGCGAAUACUGAGAUGCUGGAGUGCCGGAGAGGUAAGCGGAAUUCCUGGUGUAGCGGUGAAAUGCGUAGAUAUCAGGAGGAACACCUGCGGUGUAGACGGCUUACUGGACGGUAACUGACGCUGAGGCACGAAAGCGUGGGUAGCAAACAGG